UGUCGCCAUAGCAACGGCUCCGCCUCACUGAGCAACUGUCAGGCACCUUCCCACCGUUCGCGGGAGUCGGGAGAGUUGAGACAGACACUCAGCUCUGUCUCUAGCAGACGAGCGGCCAUGUCGGACAGAUGAGUCGAUGCUGGUAGUCCCCAUUCACAUUUUGGAUGUGAAACAAAAUUCCAGAACUACUGCGAGGGCGCACUUCUAUUACAAACUCAAGCUCUGCUCCGCUAUGGAAGGAUUCCGCUACAAAACAUAAAGCAUAUUGCUAACCCAGAUGCAUCAGAACAGGAAUAUACUCUUUGAUUCGAUGGAGCAACUGUAUGAGAGUUGAACUUGUGAAGAUAUCUAUUGAUUGUGUAGGGAAUAAACAGUAGUCUCAUGUGAAGGGAAAGCGACUUCUGAUGAAACAGCCAUCUGUCCAAAAGGAUGAGAAAAGCGUUAAGGCCAUGAGCCCUGGAUGACGAGUGCGGAAGCAGUGGAUGAGCUCUUACAUACUGGAUCUAACUGACGCUGGGACUGCAUGCUAUUGCGGCCACAGAAUACAGCUCCUGACAGCCGCUGUUCAAUAGAUCUACAAGGCUGCAAAUCCCGUGGUCUGCUAUAAGCAGCCGUAAGGUUUAAAACACAGAGCACACAAAAAGGUUUUGCACACUGUCCUCUGUCACAGUUGGAACACCGUCUGUCGAUCUGCUAUCCUGUUAAUGAGAAGAAUGAACAUACCUCUGCAGAACGUGUGAAGGAGCACCACCUAUGUAAAUGUCAGUGA